AGCCUCAUUCCAGAUGAGAAUGGGCACUGUUGAUCAGUGUCCAAAAUUGGUACAGGGGCAAAAUUGAGACACAGGUUGUGCUUCCAUCACAGUAAAUGAAUUGCAGUGGUGACAAUGAGACCUGUAACAUUU